rnacentral:misc_RNA from 1 species
AUAGGAAUAGGAAUGAUCACUUCAGAUAGAGGAUGCAAGUAGCUCAUAUAGAGGAUAAAUGAGAGAGAAUUGUUUAGUAUGGUUUGUUUAGAUCCUAUGCUGACAAGGUGUGCACUGGUUCAUGUGUAAAACACUGCGAUGAUUGGGGAUGUCCUAGAAAGAGACGGGCAGAUUGAAAGACGCAUGAUAUCUGAAUGCUGACUUGGCUAAGAAUGGGACAUGAGGCACUACAUACUAGUUGUGUCUUAGGCUUAGUUGCUGUUGUACUUGCAUCAGAUCUGGUGCCUUCUAGUUGCCUGAAUGAAGUUUUUUCUUGUGCUUCUGGUUGUAGAUCGUCUCUCAGUGUUGGUGUAACAAUCUUAAAAAAAGAAUAUUUACUAAG